AUUGAACGCUGGCGGCAGGCCUAACACAUGCAAGUCGAGCGGGAACUUCGGUUCUAGCGGCGGACGGGUGAGUAAUGCGUAGGAAGCUACCCGAUAGAGGGGGAUACCAGUUGGAAACGACUGUUAAUACCGCAUAAUGUCUACGGACCAAAGUGUGGGACCUUCGGGCCACAUGCUAUCGGAUGCGCCUACGUGGGAUUAGCUAGUUGGUGAGGUAAUGGCUCACCAAGGCGACGAUCCCUAGCUGGUUUGAGAGGAUGAUCAGCCACACUGGAACUGAGACACGGUCCAGACUCCUACGGGAGGCAGCAGUGGGGAAUAUUGGACAAUGGGCGAAAGCCUGAUCCAGCCAUGCCGCGUGUGUGAAGAAGGCCUUCGGGUUGUAAAGCACUUUCAGCGAGGAGGAAGGAGUUGUAGUUAAUAGCUGCAACUUUUGACGUUACUCGCAGAAGAAGCACCGGCUAACUCUGUGCCAGCAGCCGCUGUAACAC
rnacentral:rRNA from 1 species